UCUGUGAUGCCUACACCAAAAAGCUGAAUGAGCAGGUGACACAAGAACAACCUCUGAAGGACCUACUUCACUUGCCUGAACUUUUCUCACCUGGAAUGCUGGUAAGAUGUGUGGUGAGCAGUCUGGGCAUCACAGACAGGGGUAAGAAGAGUGUCAAGCUGUCUCUGAACCCCAAAAAUGUCAACAGAGUGCUGAGUGCUGAGGCCCUGAAGCCUGGCAUGGUAGGUAUCUAGGGUCGGGGAGGAAGAGUGGCAAUGUGCCUUUUCCCUGCCUCUGAGGGAGCGUGGCUAGGCCACCUUUUACUUUCAGCUCAACUGUUACACAUUGGAGUGUUUCUUUUUCUGGAAGGAAGGUCUCUUGGGUUCUUUGGGUACUUAAUGGACAUUGAAGACUUGAACCUAAUCAUUAC
rnacentral:sRNA from 1 species